CUUCAUUUUGAUUUCUUCUUCUUGGCACUCUUACCUACAGAUUUCUUAGCCCGUCCUGAAAAAUAUCAGAUAGCCAUUAGUGAAGUUUAUUAAGUACAGAGAAGUUAGAGUGUUGGAAAAAUGUUAUCCGUCAUAAUUCACAAAUGUGAAUAUUAGC